UUGAACGACGCAGCCGUUUGAACCAAGCAGCCGGAGCCGUUUGAACAACGGAGCGGGCACAGAGAUGGAGAGACGGCCUCAUGGUGGACUUCAGACCGUUUCUUCCCAAAAAGAGCCAGCAUCGGAGCCUGGAGCUGACUGUUUCCUCUCCACUCUUCGUGCUGGACGCCGUACAGAUGCGUGCAGCCUGCCUGGCGCCACCUACAGAGCCAGGACCUGACUUCCUCACCUUCACUGCUCCACUCUUCAUGCUGCCUCAGGAAGAACCUGCCUGACUCUUCCUGCUGCACGCCGGACGCCGGAGAGAUGCGUGGAACCUCCCUGUAGCCACCUACAGAGCCUGGAGCUGACUUUUCCUCAUCUUCAUCUCUCCACUCUUCCUGCCGGACGCCGUACUGAUGCGUGGAACGUGCCUGGCGCCGCCUACAGAGCCUGGAGCUGACUUUUCCUCAUCUUCAUCUCUCCACUCUUCCUGCCGGACGCCGUACUGAUGCGUGGCACCCGCCUGGAGCCGCCUAGAGAGCCUGGAGCUGACUUUCUCCUCAUCUUCAUCUGCGUGGAACCUCCCAGGAGCCCGAAAAGUGGAGAAAACGACCAACAGGAAGUGUGGGUCUCCAAAACCGGAAGUGACGUCAUCGCACCGUUGGUAUGAGAGGUGGCCCUGGUGGUGGUGAUGGAGCACAGCAAUUUUAAUAGAGAUCAGAGCUGUUUUGACCGAAUUUCGCAAUAUCUUUUCAGGGUUGCGCAAUUUCGGUCGGUGUUGCGCAAUAGAAAACCUAAAUGACGCGAGGGACACAAGACACAAAUCAUCUAUAUACCUAACCCUAACCCUAACCCUGACCCUAACCCUCAGUGUUGCGCAAUAGA